AAAGCCUGAUCCAGCCAUGCCGCGUGUGUGAAGAAGGUCUUCGGAUUGUAAAGCACUUUAAGUUGGGAGGAAGGGCAGUAAGUUAAUACCUUGCUGUUUUGACGUUACCGACAGAAUAAGCACCGGCUAACUCUGUGCCAGCAGCCGCGGUAAUACAGAGGGUGCAAGCGUUAAUCGGAAUUACUGGGCGUAAAGCGCGCGUAGGUGGUUCGUUAAGUUGGAUGUGAAAGCCCCGGGCUCAACCUGGGAACUGCAUCCAAAACUGGCGAGCUAGAGUAUGGUAGAGGGUGGUGGAAUUUCCUGUGUAGCGGUGAAAUGCGUAGAUAUAGGAAGGAACACCAGUGGCGAAGGCGACCACCUGGACUGAUACUGACACUGAUGUGCGAAAGCGUGGGGAGCAAACAGGAUUAGAUACCCUGGUAGUCCACGCCGUACACGAUGUCAACUAGCCGUUGGAAUCCUUGAGAUUUUAUUGGCGCACCUCACGCAUUAAGUUGACCGCCUGGGGAGUACGGCCGCAGGUGAAACUCAAAUGUAUUUGACUGCGGCCCGCACAACCG
rnacentral:rRNA from 1 species